rnacentral:rRNA from 1 species
CUCGUAGGCGGUUUGUCGCGUCGGGAGUGAAAACUCAGGGCUUAACCCUGAGCCUGCUUCCGAUACGGGCAGACUAGAGGUAUGCAGGGGAGAACGGAAUUCCUGGUGUAGCGGUGAAAUGCGCAGAUAUCAGGAGGAACACCGGUGGCGAAGGCGGUUCUCUGGGCAUUACCUGACGCUGAGGAGCGAAAGUGUGGGGAGCGAACAGGAUUAGAUACCCUGGUAGUCCACACCGUAAACGUUGGGCGCUAGGUGUGGGACUCAUUCCACGAGUUCCGUGCCGCAGCUAACGCAUUAAGCGCCCCGCCUGGGGAGUACGGCCGCAAGGCUAAA